rnacentral:ncRNA from 1 species
AACAGAUUUGGUCUUAGUCCUUACUUUGGCUUUUUCUAAAAUGAUACAUGCGAGCAAAUCAGCGAUACCGUGAGGAAAUAAACAUCUCCCUAACUUUAAGAAAAGAUAUUAUUUAACAUCAGGCACUCUCUUAUAGCCAACGACGUUUAGCCUUCCACACCUGCAGUACUUAACAUUGUACAAUAAAAGAAAACUUGAUACAGUUAUAGAAAACAGGGCCAGUAAAUUAUGUGCCAGCCACCGCGGUUAUACAUAAAGUCCAAGCCAAAACCCUAACCGGUAUAAAAGUGGUGUGGGAAAGUUAUACCAGAGCAGACACUAACUCAAGCAGUAGCAAGCUUUUACAGAAUACUUAUAACAAACCUAAACCAGCUCUGGCUACCCCUAAUAAACCACGAAAACUCAAAAAUAAACUGGGAUUAGAUACCCCACUAUAUGAGUCGUAAACAAUUAAAAACGCCAGAAAACUACGAACUAAAGUUUAAAACUCAAAAGACUUGGCGGUUUUUUAGAUCUCCCUGGAGGAGCUUGCCAUCAAAUCGAUAACCCACGAAAUACCUCACCAGCUCUUGAUAAACUCAACUUGUAUACCAUCGUCGUCAGUUUACCUCCCAAGAGAGUAUACUUAAAGAACAAUAACUCUUUACGCCAGAUCAAGGUGCAGUAAAUGAGCUGGGGAUGAGUGAGCUACAAUAAUUUAUUCACUUUAACAUAAAACCAAUUGUGGAUCUCAAUAUGAAAAAAAACUUGAAAUAGGAUUCAGCAGUAAUACUUAAAAGAAAAUAAGUAUGAAACUAGCUCUAAAAUGCGCACACAUCGCCCGUCACUCUCCUCAACCUAGAAGAGAAAAGUCGUAACAAAGUAGGCUUAUUGGAAAAUGUGCCUGGAUUAUA